rnacentral:lncRNA from 1 species
AGAACCUUAGAUUCGGCCGAUCAGAUCCGGGAGUGAGCGAUUGCGGCCAUUAAUGCUCUCCUCAGGUGAACUGUAGAAAACACCGAAUGCCUUUGUACAAACAUUUAAUGCUCUUUUGCCGUUGCCAUGCGAAUUCAAAACUUGGAUGGUCUUUUGUUGCAGCUUUUCAUUUAAUGGCCCUUUACUCCGACGGGAUGCGUUUUACCAACCGUUACCCUUCAUCUUUUCCCCCUAUAAGUAUGAGACCCC